CGGGUGAGUAACGCGUGGAUAACCUGCCUCACACUGGGGGAUAACAGUUAGAAAUGACUGCUAAUACCGCAUAAGCGCACAGUACCGCAUGGUACAGUGUGAAAAACUCCGGUGGUGUGAGAUGGAUCCGCGUCUGAUUAGCCAGUUGGCGGGGUAACGGCCCACCAAAGCGACGAUCAGUAGCCGACCUGAGAGGGUGACCGGCCACAUUGGGGCUGAGACACGGCCCAA
rnacentral:rRNA from 1 species